rnacentral:rRNA from 1 species
UACGUAGGGGGCGAGCGUUGUCCGGAGUUACUGGGCGUAAAGCGCACGCAGGCGGUCUGCUAAGUUUGGAGUGACAGUUGGUGGCUCAACCACCAAAGUGCUUCGAAAACUGACAGACUUGAGGGCUUCAGAGGGACACGGAAUUCCGGGUGGAGUGGUGAAAUGCGUAGAGAUCCGGAGGAACACCGAAGGCGAAGGCAGUGUCCUGGCGAGUGACUGACGCUGAGGUGCGAAAGCCAGGGGAGCGAACGGG